UACGGGGGGGGCAAGCGUUGUUCGGAAUUACUGGGCGUAAAGGGCUCGUAGGCGGCCAACUAAGUCGGAUGUGAAAUCCCCAAGCUUAACUUGGGAACUGCAUCCGAUACUGGAUGGCUUGGAUUCGGGAGAGGAAUGCGGAAUUCCAGGUGUAGCGGUGAAAUGCGUAGAUAUCUGGAGGAACACCGGUGGCGAAGGCGGCAUUCUGGACCGAUAUUGACGCUGAUGAGCGAAAGCCAGGGGAGCAAACGGG
rnacentral:rRNA from 1 species